AUUGGUAGAAGUAGCUCCGUGUUGUAGUGUUGUGUAGCAGUAGUCCACCGCUGAGAAGCUAGCAAAGCCAGCCAUCCAUUCAGCGCAGUACUCUCGGGAGAGCUAGAAGCGAUCUAUUCUAGCCACAAGGAGGAGAGAUAAACGUAUCGAAAUGGAGCACAUCGCGAGGUUCUUCUUUGGAGUUUCCGGUGAGUGUGCCGCCAUGGCUAGCUGCAGCUUGUUCUUAAUUUCCUAUCUGUCUAUAUGUGCAUGUAGUAUUUGUUUCUCCCAUCUUCGAACACUCGAAGAAAUGAAGGUGUAUGGGUGCUCCUAGAGCUACCUACUUUGCUGGUUAAUUUUUGGUGAAGUUUUACACUACUGUGAAUUCGUUCUAAGUUUUUUGUUGGCUCCGUUUUCCAGGCAAUGUCAUCGCUCUCUUCCUGUUCCUUUCGCCAGUGUAAGUUUCUGAUUCCUUGCUGCCUAGCCUUAUCGUCAAUCUUAUCCCAAUUUGUGAGGUCUUGUAACGUGUGAGCAGAGGUGGGAAGAAGGAAAAAAAAACAAGUGAAAAGGGAAGAAGAAACAAAAGAUACCUGUAACUCAUAGUCUCUGUGUCUGG
rnacentral:sRNA from 1 species